rnacentral:rRNA from 1 species
GAUGAACGCUGGCGGCGUGCCUAAUACAUGCAAGUCGAGCGAACGGACGAGAAGCUUGCUUCUCUGAUGUUAGCGGCGGACGGGUGAGUAACACGUGGAUAACCUACCUAUAAGACUGGGAUAAUUUCGGGAAACCGGAGCUAAUACCGGAUAAUAUUUUGAACCGCAUGGUUCAAAAGUGAAAGACGGUCUUGCUGUCACUUAUAGAUGGAUCCGCGCUGCAUUAGCUAGUUGGUAAGGUAACGGCUUACCAAGGCAACGAUGCAUAGCCGACCUGAGAGGGGGAUCGGCCACACUGGAAGUGAGACACGGUCCAGACUCCUACGGGAGGCAGCAGUAGGGAAUCGUCCGCAAUGGGCGAAAGCCUGACGGAACAACGCCGCGUGAGUGAUGAAGGUCUUCGGAGCGGAAAACUCUGUUAUUAGGGAAGAACAUAUGUGGAAGUAACUGUGCACAUCGUGACGGUACCUAAUCAGAAAGCCACGGCUAACUACGUG